AUGCUAAAAAUAGAUCUGGCUAAAGCUUUCGAUCGCUUAGAGUGGAACUUCAUUGUGUCUGCGCUUGCACGUAAAGGGCUGCAUUGUCAUUUCAUUAAUUUGGUUCAUGCGUGCAUUUCUUCACCUACUUUCUCUGUGCUUGUUAAUGGGCAGCCUUCGCAUAAAUUUAGAAGUUUCAGAGGUAUUCGUCAAGGCUGUCCCAUGUCGCCUUAUUUGUUUGUUAUUGCUAUCAAUGAAUUGUCUAUUGCUCUCAAUGAAGCUCUUGCUGCUCAAAAUCUUCAAGGAAUUUCGCUUGGACCAAAUUGCCCUUCUAUUCAUUCUCUGUUGUUUGCAGAUGAUUUGUUGGUUUGUGGUCAAGCCACUAUUCAGGAAGCCAAUGCUAUGGCUCAGCUCUCACCACUUUUGUUCUAUUUCAGGUCAAACUCCAAACUGGCCCAAGUCUGCCAUUCUUUUUAG
rnacentral:rRNA from 1 species